AUUGAACGCUGGCGGCAGGCCUAACACAUGCAAGUCGAGCGCGCGGCGGACGGGUGAGUAAUGUCUGGGAAACUGCCUGAUGUAGGGGGAUAACUACUGGAAACGGUAGCUAAUACAGCAUACCAUCAGAUGUGCCCAGAUGGGGUUAGCUAGUAGGUGGGGUAACGGCUCACCUAGACGACGAUCCCUAGCUGGUCUGAGAGGAUGACCAGCCAAACUGGAACUGAGACACGGUCCAGACGCCUACGGGAGGCAGCAGUGGGGAAUAUUGCACAGUGGGCGCAAGCCUGAUGCAGCCAUGCCGCGUGUGUGAAGAAGGCCUUCGGGUUGUAAAGCACUUUCAGCGGGGAGGCGUUACCCGCAGAAGAAGCACCGGCUAACUCCGUGCCAGCAGCCGCGGUAAUAC
rnacentral:rRNA from 1 species